rnacentral:ribozyme from 1 species
UUUUUUUUUUUUUUUUUUUUUUUUUUUUUUUUUUUUUGAGAUUUGACAAAACCACCGCUGCAAGUCUGAAAAUC